AUAGUACUCCCUCCGUCUCAAAAUUCUUGUCUUAGAUUUGACCAGAUAGUAUUAGAUACAUCCAUAUCUAGAUAAAUUUAAGACAAGAAUUUUGGGACGGAGGGAGUAGUAU
rfam:Triticum aestivum genome assembly, contig: Triticum_aestivum_CS42_TGACv1_scaffold_329875_4BS